UGGAGGCCUUAGCUGGAAAUUUGCUGAGAGAAUAAAUUGCAACAUAGUGAGAUACAUGGGCUGUGUCGGCAUAUUUUCAGCUUGUGCUCAGUGCCAUGAAGGCAUUGCAUUAAAGCAGAAAUGUGCAGGCAUCAGCAGGAAACAUCUGGGUGGGGUGGGCAGCACAGGCCACACCAGGAGAGCCAGAUCUGUGUCUGUGCUCCUUGCCCCAGCACCCGCAACAGGGGCAAGUGGGCUGAGGCUCCUGCAGGAAGCUCCAUCUCUCAAGGCGUUUUGGGCUGUGGUUAGAGGCUGCCUACCCUGUGAAUGAUCAGAAACUGAGGGCAAGAUGAUGAAGUGACUGAUGUGGCUGGGGCCACUCAGGGCUGUGUGAUUCGGCUGGACCCGCACGCACAUCUGACCUCAGGUCUUGGAGCUAAGCUGAUGGCCAUCCGACUCCAUGCAUGUCCCCUUAUCCACAACCCUUGCCAUGGACAGUCGUUGGGAGCUCGUGCCACCUCCAGGAACUCAGAGCAAGUGGUGGAGUAUGUGGGUCAGAGUUCAGGACCAGGUAUGACUGCAGCCAGCUGGCUUGGGUUUAGUCAAUCACAUAGAAGUUUGUGGCUCACUCCAGUUCAUCUCUCGGAACACAAAACAGUGAGAUUUACUGUUUCGGGCAUUUGUAAAGAGGAAGUGGAGGGUUCUAGCCUCGUGGAAGGUGGCCAGCUUCCCAGGGCCUGUUCUCUUCCAAGUAACACCGCCCUGGUUAUGAUGGAUGCCUGGGCCUCGAUUCCUAUGGAAAUGGCCUGGUUCUCAGACACUGGGUCUGCUUCGGAGACGCACACGUGAGAACCGGGUCCUUGAGGGGAAUAAGCUUCAACCAGACACCCAGAAAACCGACUCUUCGGCUUUGAAUUUCAUCAGCCAGUUAAGUGUUCCCCCCACAACCUGAAGACUAAUUGAAGCUUAUUGACUUUUAAUUUUCCGCCCCCAAAAAUUAAAAAAUAAAGCCAGCAAUGGCAAACACUACCAUUAUCAUCACUUAAGAGAAGUGAACGAGAUGAGGGAGGAAAAUGUCUGCGAAUAAAGGGUGCUGCCCACCGAGGCUGCCAGCAGCCCACACUGGCAGGGACGUAUGGCUCUGCCCUUUGUCCCUGGACAGCAGUGGACAGUGCCCAGGCCCUGAGUGUGGGUGCUGGUCUGUAGCAUGUUUAGGCAUGAGGCCUGGAAGCUCCUUGCAGACCCUUUGUCCUCAGAGUGAGAAAGGCCUGAGGGAAGGACACUCAGCACAUGCUCUGUGUCCUCCAAGGAGCUGCCUGCAAUGACAGGGUUGCUGGGUCGCUCCUGGGCAAGACCCUGUCACUCCUGUCAUUGGUCACUCAGGGGCCUGCUCCUGAAAGCUGCUCCAUGGUGGGUCGUGGCCUGCCCACUGUCCUCUGGGGUGGGUCGGGGCUAGGCCUCUGUCACGGUAGAGGAGCCCAAGCUCCUGCUGGGGGCAGUCACUCUGGCUCCCACCCUUCUCUCAGUGAGACCGUCCCCUACAGCUGUCUGGGGCAGGGGUCUCUACUCAGUCAUACCCCCCCAUCCACCUCAGCUGCCCUGGAAGGGUGAGGUCUGGGGGUGACCCUCUUAAGGGUGGCCCCACAGCUGACCACCAAGGCCCUGGAGGUGUUCCAGGGUUCCAGAACAGUUGUGCGACCCCUAUUUGUUAAGUCUUACUAUUUGUUGAGUCUUACUAUUAUUGUCGAUACUCUUAAAUGGAACAUGCUGGCCACGCGCUGGUCAAACACGUGUUUCUGGGAAGUGGACACCCUAGUGAGGGGCUUCACUAACCCUAGUUGUGGUAUUACUCAUCUCGUGAGACUGACACCAUCAACUGAAGCUUUCUCCAGUUUCCCAACAACCUUGCAUGCUGUGUCUUAGACCACUUUAGGGAAGAGGUGCCACAGUGCAAAGGAGGAGAUCCGGGACCUGAGGGGGAGUCGAGGGAGGGUCCCUUCACCUCCGAAGCCUCAGAAUUCUGCUAUGGUGACCACAGUUGCAUUAGGAUUGACCAACUGUUGAGAGAGUUUUCCAAGGACGCUAUGCUGUGGUUUUCCGGAUCCCAGCAUCCGGCAGCGAGGGGACCUGUGAGGCGUGCAUCCUGGUGCCUGUGUGUUGGUCUGUGGCCGUGCGCUCUGCUCAGCUACUCUUGUCCAGCUUCCUGACCUGCUCCCCAGACGCUGGGUUCUUGGACCUGGGUCACGGUAAAGAGUCGUGGGCAAUGGCACAGGGUGCCCGGAGCUUCAGUUGGCUGCCGGCCCCGUGAGGCCCCCCAGCGAGUGGAGGCCAGGUGUUUCUGCUGUGGGGUUACGUUUUCCCUGUUACCCUGUUCCCUUUAGGAAGAAAUCACUGUGCACAGCCCACUCUUAAGGGUGCACGUUUCUUGGGGCGCCUGGCUGGCUCAGUCUGGUCCUCAGCGUCGUGAACUGAGCCCCACGUUGAGUGUAGAGAUGAUUUAAAUUAAAAAACUUAGACGUAAAAAGGAUGCAUGUUUCGUUUUAGGCUAAUGUUGUUUCCUGGGCAUCUGUUCACAUUGGUACAAAACGAGCUCGGGAUUCUUUCUGUACCAGGGUGGUAUUCUGUCCCUUGUCCCUGGCAUAAGGGAUUCGACCAGUUUUCUCCUUGAUAUGCAUUUAGGAUGUAGAUAGAGUUGAACAUACAUACUUUUGUAAACAUUAGUUCUUACGCUGGUUGACAAAUUGUUAGAAGUGGAAUUGUCAGGUCAGAGUUCAUGCCACUUCCUGUGCCCGCCAGCAGCGAGUGGGGUGCCCCAGCCCUGCCCACCAGAGCAUUGCCAAACUCUUGGCUUUUGCUAAGCAGAUCAAUGAAAAAUGACAGUUUCUCGGUGUAGUUUUGAUGCUCAUCUCUUUUUCUGGAUGAGUUUAAGCAUCUCCUAUGAUCAAGGACCUGGCAUUUCCUUCUUCGGUGGCCUGUUUGCUCACUGAUGGUCCAGAGCUCGUGUGUAAGGACCAGCCCUUCAACUGUGGUGGAAUGUCUUCCUACACAGCCCACUUCUUUUCCGCCCUGGUGAUGUGCACGACGCCUUUCCCUGCGGUGGGCCCUGCUGCACAGAGCAGCCCCUGUGCGACGUUGCCGUCUCUCUCUGCCUCCGGGCUGAGGCCGGGGAGCGCAGUUCUUCCGGGCAGACUCCAGUCCUGCGUGCCCUGGUGCUGGGGGUGCUGCCCCUCCAUCCGGGACAGAGAAGGAAGUCACAGCGGGGUCGUCGACCCUCACACAGCCAAGGCCGUGAGGCAGAGAUGGUCCACGCUGUCCAAGCUACGCUCAUAAGGGGAGAAGAAACACAAUGAGAAAAAUGGUAAAUAGGCAAUUUUUCUGGAACUUAAAAGCUGUUGGCUUAAGGCACGAACUUCACAUUUGUAAGAGCCAAGCUGUUGUGUUUUCAUGAGACCAAAAGACACACACGUGAUGGGUCGUCUGAGGCGUCAGGGACACCCUGCCGUUCAUGGUGAGGUCACUGCCCUCACUGAUUCUGUGAGAACCCUUGUUUACAUUCUGACCUCAGGCCUCCAACAUUCCUUAAAUUGUUGGAAACUUGGGAGCAGAGCCCCACAUGAAGUUCAAACGUGCCCCACCCCCACCCCUGCCCCACACUGUCCAUGCAGCCACCGUCAGCCGUUGACUGGGGGCUUCGUGCAGGAGGAUGGAUGGAGCAAAGGGCGCAGAAGACAUUGGCUGACCUUAGAGAUGGGGGCGUCCUGCCCUCCCGCGCACAACUGGGAACCUGGGUCCUGGAGGGUUGAGGGGAGGUGUCUGCAGGGCUGACCUGCAAGGCUGACAGGCCUGGGACGUCCAGAUGGUCAACACACUCUCCCUGGACUCAUGGGUGAGAACCAGGGUGUGGGAGGCUUGGGGCCUGGUGUGGUCAGCUGGUUCUAUUUUCCUCUCCUGGUUCCUCUGGGCACGGGACGGGGGACGCACUCUGUCCUGGUCCUGGAUGUCUCCCACUCUGGGUGAAGGGGCCUCAGGAGGAGGGACUCAGGGAGCUCUGCCAGGAAAGCACCUGAGAGAGUGUUUGGCUAUUCAGCAAGGUCAGGAAACUGCCAGCUGAGAAAGGUAAAGAGGGGAGCAGCCAGAUGGGAAAGGAGGGAGAGAGAAGCCAGCAGAUGAGGGUCAGGGUGCGGCAAACACAGGAGGGGAUUGUGGACUCUGUCUGGAGGGUGAGCAGGAGAGGGGUGAGGAGGUGGGCCAGGCUCCCCAGGCCUUUACAAAUGGCAGACAGAUGAAGCUCGGCUACUGGGUUUCCCUUAUACCCAGGCAAGUCUGACCUCAUUUGUGUGCAUGAAUUUUUAUUGGGUGGUGAGGCUCCAAGCAGGUCCCUGGGGAGGGCGCACAGUGGGGAGGGGCAGGCAGGUGGGACACCUGGUGCUGGAAGGAGCUCCCUGGUGUGUCAGGAUGCAAUUUGGGGCAUGGAACUCAGAGCAAAACCAGCAGUGUCAACCUUGAAGUCAGUGUGACUUGGGGCCCAGAUGGGUAUGGUCAGAGCAAUUGGGUUUGGCUCAGGAAGUAGGCACAUGUUUUGGGGGCUGUGACUGGGGAGGGUGCCCUUGGGCCCAGCAGGGGGAUCAGGCGAGGGCGAGGGAGGCACCCAUGGGCUGGCAACAUGGGGGGAAGCCGAUGGCCAAAUGAGGAGACAUCCCACGUCUGGAAGAGGAAAGCCCCAGCUGGACAGCUGUGUGCUGAAGGGCAGGAACCUGGUGUUUUCAGGGGGUCGGCCCAGAGCAAGAGACUGCUAGGGGCUGCAUCCCGGGGACCCCCAGCACAACGAGACCAUGGGAUGUGGGAAAGUGGACUCGGUCUCAGGGUGGGACUGAGGCCCAGUCGGGACUCUGCUCCACAGAGGAGGCCUGGCCGCUCUGAGUUCGGCCGAGGUCCACGUGGGGAGAAGGAGGCAGACGCCCCACACUCAGGUGCUGGCUGAGUCAAUCCUGGGGAUUUUCUGCACUCUGUCCUCGUGCCCCUGGUGCCUUCAUGGGGUGGGCGCUUUCAAAAGGGUUUUCUCCGUUAUGAUCUAAAAGACCUCCUUUAAACUGUCAGAAACAGAUCAUUAUGUUCACAAGACACAUUUGCUCAGUGCCCCGUUGGCUCCUUUUCUAGCCGCGCUAUGCUCUCUGUCACCGUCACGUUCCCCAAAGUGUUGCCACCAAAGGCUAAUUGGAGACUUAGAUGUUCAGCUGCACCCCCACUUUCUCUGUUCCCUCUUUUCUCACCACUUCUUGUUAACUUUGGGUCUGCUUCCUCCUCUUACCCCUUCUCAUGCCCUUGAUUCUGGCUGUGCCUGCUUCAGUUAUUAAAUACCUCAUUUCACAAGUAUGCGUGAGAGCAGCUGGCCCUGUUGCCGGGCGACAUCAGCAACCGGCACACUGUCCUCAGUCUCGGGGGUGGAGGGUGUGGGGUCCCCAUACCUGCCUGCGGCACUGCCCUGGGAGACCCGUGGGCAUGGAGGGGACAUGCUGUCCUGCUGCUUCUCCCCUACUUUCCAUUCCACCCCCGCCCUUCCCGUGACCACCCUGCUUGUCCUGCCUUCUUCCCGGGAUGUUGGACCUGGAUGGCUUUGUGGCUGUGGGGACACUGCCUGCCGAGGCCUGGAUCAAGAAGAGGCCCAUGAGAGGCAAGGCUGGAUGCGGUCCAGUCCCUGUCAGGUCCCUGCCUAUGUGUGCCCAUUGUCCUUCAGUGGGGACUGGGGAUAUCAGUGGGCCUGGCAGGACCUGACCCUCACUGUCUCCGUCAACUCCCCCCCACCCCCUCCAUGGGCUCCCUACUCCUGUACCUGCCACAAGGCGGUCAUGGGCCUCACCAUUUGCUGGCCAGUACCCACUCUGCUCCCCAAAGGGUCAAGGGUGGUCUCUACCCUGGGGCAAGAGUAGGGUCCCCUAUGCCCCUAUGUUGCUGGGAGUCCCAGGAUUUAGGAUGUGUGAAGGAGUCUUCCAGAGCCUUUGGGACUCAGUCCAGAGACUUGUUCUCAGAGAAUCACCAACUAGAGUCCCUGGAGUUUGUCCUCUCCCCAGGAGCAACAGGAACCAUGGGGUCCAGGUGGCACCCUCUGCACUGGGCAGGGGGUGGGCAGGUUUUUGACACCCUCCUCUCAUUUGCAAAGAAGAAUAUUUGCUCCUCACCAUCCUUGACAUAUCCCCAAGGCUCACCCCAGCUGCUUAAGGAAAAUGCCUUUCUUACCCCAAAACUCUCAGAGCCCCCCCAAUCCCCAGGAGCACUCAUGUUGCAAACAUUUGGUACCCAGAUCUGCCCUUAUGUUAGAGGCCCCCUCAGACACCUAGUGACAGUGUGGUCCCAGCCUCCAUUCCCUUCAGAUCCUUGGCUUUUGGGGAAUUUAUUCUCCAUUCUUUUCUGUGUCUCUAUUAUGCAGCAAGUACUGAGAAUAAAUAUAUAAAUAAGACACAAUCCUCAUCUUUAAGGAAAAGCAAAACAGAACAUAAAAUACUCAAUCUACAGAGAUUAGAGAUCUGAAUUCUAUUUUACAACUCAUUUUUCUUUAAUCAGAAGAAUGAAAUUUUCUAUUUAUUAAAAGUUGUCAUAUAUGCAAGAUAGCACAUUCCCCCAUGCAUGUAGAGUUUGAAGAAGACUGGAGAGCCCCCUGUGCUCCCACCCACUGGCACGGUGGGGAGGUGGUGUGAACGGACCCUGGACCGCCUUGCACUGUGCUCCACAUGCUCCCGGCCCUUCCUGUUUGUGGAUCUGGUGAGUAUAACAUGGUCUCUGGCUGUGGUUUUAUUUUUAGUUUCCCUGAUUAUUAACAAAAAUGCUGUCUUCCCGCACACUUCCCGGCCAUGCUAGCUCCCUUUGGCGUGCUCCAGCCCCUACCCACCUUGAGUGGGUGUCCUGUGGUGCCUGGGCCGAUGCCUGGCGAUGUCUCUGUGGGGACCCUGCCUCGUCUGUGUGGUAUUUUUCUCCGAGUUCGGGACCUGUCUCUUGUCUUUGAUGAAGUUCUUAAUUGGAAUGCAGUGGAAUUCGCCUGCCUUUUUCCCUUUAUGAUAUCCCCGUUUGUGCCCUAACCAACCCUUCCUGGGCUUGAAUGUGUGAAGAUAUUAAAAAUCUUGCUUUUCACAUACAAGUGCUUAUCCAUCUGGAAGCAAUCUUCUUUGUGUUUGGUUUAAGAUAGGGAUCCAAUUUCACUUUUUUAAUGUGCGUAACCAGCUCCCUGGCACCGUUUGCUGAUGUGCUUCAGCUCCGUCAUGCGCCAGGUUUCCAUCUGCUCGUGGGGCUGCUUCUGGGCUCUGUGCUUGCCCUGGUGGCCAGUGUCACAGCACCCUGGUCUCUACAGUGUGGUUGUAGGUCUGACGCCCUGUAGGUGAGCUUCCCUGCCUUGUGUUUCUCUCACUCAGUACACGUUUAUUGAGCACCUAGUACAUGGCGGGAAGUUUCUAGGUGCUGGAAAAAUCCUGCCCGCGUUCUGGAGAGCCUUGCCAAGGGCAGGAGGGAAGCAUCUGUAUGUUGAUGGGGGUGGUGGCCAGAACGCAUGCAUUCAUCAAAAUUCACGGAACUGCACUUAAGAUCUGUAUAUUGUAUUAUGUAUUAUGUAUGUAUGUAUUAUUAUGUAUAUGUGUUAUGUAUGUUAAUUAUGCCUUACCAAAGUCAAUUCAAAAUAUGCAGUGUAAAAUUCCAUAUGGAACUUCCCCCCACAUUAUAAAAUGUAGGAAAAAGGCAAAGGAAAUAUGCCUAAAUACCCUAAUGGUCCUUUGGGGAUGGUAGGGCCUGGGGAAGUGGGUAUUUUCUUCUUCAGACUUCAGUUUUCUGCAUUGUUGUGGGUUGAAUAAUGCAUCUCCUUCCAGACAUGUCCAUGUUCUAACACCUAGGCCUGUGACUGUGACAUUUGGAAAAGGAUCUUUGCAGGAGUAAAUAAGAUCUUAAAAUGAGAACAUCUUGGGCCACUGGGUGGGCCCUAAACCAGAUAACGAGUGUCCUCAUAAGGGACAGAAGAGGAGAGACAUGGAGGGGAAGCCAUGUGACGAAGAAGACGGAGAUGGAGUGAUUCAGCCCGGGGACGCCUGGAGCCCCCAGUAGCCGGGAGAAUCACAGAAAAACCCUUCCUUAGAGCAUCUGGAUGGAGGGGGGGUCCUGCCAACACCUUCAUGUCAGGCUUCUGGUCUCCAAACCUGGGAGAGGAUGAUUUCAGUUGUCUUAAGCCUCUCCGGUUUGUGGUCAGCUGUUAGAACAACCCUAGGAAAUGAAUACAGGCAUGGAAAACCUCUACGCCCAGAAAAAAACGUUUACCUAAAAUAAUGAAAAGUAGAAAACUCUACAGAGGAUAAGCCAUGCCGUGUUCCAGGGGUCAGAGCACCUGGGGCUGCUGCCUGGCUGAGUGGGUGGACGCCGUCCCCCCUACCCUGAGCUGGCCCCACCUCCUGGGCUCCUGCCCUGCGGUCCCUCCUUGGUUCCCCGUGUCUUUCUGACCCCUGCUGUCUUUCUCCCUGUCUUCCUUUCUUUUGUCUGCUUUCUCUUAACAGAUUAUGAUACAGAAUAAGAUUAGCUUUGAUGUAAAAUGAAGGACAAUUUGUGUGCCUCAGUCUUGGUUUUAAAGUUGCUCUGACGUCUGCUUCCCUUGUCUGCACUUCCGACCUUGGCCACAUCUCUCCUCCUGGCCCCACCCACCGGGCCUGGCCCUCUGGUGCAGCCUCCACCCUCCCAUGAAGACAACUGGCUUCAGGGACCGUUUUCUUCCCGCAACUGCUUUUCCCAAGGAUCUCUGACUGCUCCUAUCUGUGGGAUUGAAGCCCAGCUCCAUAUCCUGGUAAUCACUGAUUCCAACACAUGUUCCCAAGAUCCCUGAAUCCUCAUUUACUUCUCACCUACGCAAACCACCGAAACCCAUCCCCUCCCCAUUCCCUGAAUGUCCCCACUCCUGAUCCCCACCUAACAGCCUCCCUCCCUUGUUUCCCAAGCUGAAUGAUGCCUGCUCUGACCCUGACCAGCAUACUGGCUUCUGGGUCUGCUCCCGUCUGUCCCUCCAGUGCCCACCCACCUCCAGGCCAGAGCCAGACAUGGAGCCUGUGGGCACCCCUCAAAUCUUGCCCUCAGCUGCUCCAGGCCCCUAAUGCCCUGCACCUCCUGCGGCCCGGUUGGGGUUGGACCGACCUGGGUUCAGGUCUUUCCUCAGGGUGCCCAGCUCAGCACACAUCAGCUCUUACCACCAAGGGCGUUACUGUUUUGUUUUCUCAUGUAUUAAGUAUUUAAUGUUUGUUGAAUAAAUGUUUGCUCUUUGGUACUAA